AACGUAGGUGGCAAGCGUUAUCCGGAUUUACUGGGCGUAAAGCGUGUGCAGGCGGGGGUACAAGUGGUGUAUGAAAUUUCCCAGCUUAACUGGGAAGGGUUAUGCCAGACUGUACUUCUGGAGUGCGAGAGAGGGGCGUGGAAUUCCGGGUGUAGUGGUGAAAUGCGUAGAGAUCGGCAGGAACACCCAGGGGGAAACCAGUCGACUGGGCAGCACCUGACGCUGAGGUGCGAGAGCGUGGGGAGCGAACCGG
rnacentral:rRNA from 1 species